rfam:Dendroctonus ponderosae Seq01011828, whole genome shotgun sequence.
AAAUCGGUCCUUUUCAGGACUACAGAAUUUCUAAAGAAAUCCUCUAU